GUUGAAAUAAAUCAUGGACUUAAAUCAGUGCAACAGGACGCUAAAAUAACAUUAGAGCAUAUGUCUGUUAAGAUAUAGGUAAAAUUACCUUCAAGCACCACACCAUGAAUGUGAGUAAGGGACACUAGAGGAAGAUGAUCAGUGUUAUGUUCCAGCUGCUUUAGUCUCCUAGAAAUAAUUCCAGAUGUCCAUUGUUAUGUGCUGUGGUUAUGAUAAUAAAUUUAUAUAAUGUGUUAUAAACUGCUUAUUUUCCAAUGUAAUUGUUUUAAAAUAUUCUUUCUUUUGUAACAGAUUUUCUUUUAUUAUUAAAACACCAGGAAUAAGGAGGUCAAAAGAGAAGAAAGACUUGCUAAGAUUACAGCUCAAACAAAUUAAAGAACAUUCACGAGCUCUAUUAGAAGAUAGAAAGAAGGAAAAAGAAGAGAAACGGCGUCGAAGGGAAGCAAAUUUGAAGAGACAGGAAGAAAAUAGGCUGAAAUCAGAAGUUGUUCAAGUGAUAAAAAACACUUCAAAAAUCAAGAGAAUGAAGAAAAAGCAACUGCGCCAAAUUGAGAAGCGUGAUACUACAACAUUAAUCAAGAGAUGUUGAACAUAAUACACAAAUUUAAUUUCUAAAAAGGAAUUGGUGUUGUACUGAGCAGUGUAUUUAUGGUAUACAAAGUUUAACAUAAUAUUUUAUAAAUAAAAUGAAUAUGUAACAGC